AAGAAUUUAAGUUAAAAAAACUUUAAGCCUUCAAAGCCUACUAUAGAAUAAAUUUUCUAAUUCUUA
rnacentral:tRNA from 1 species